CCUACGGGGGGCUGCAGUGGGGAAUAUUGGACAAUGGGGGCAACCCUGAUCCAGCCAUGCCGCGUGUGGGAAGAAGGCCCUCGGGUUGUAAAGCACUUUCAGUGAGGAAGAACGCCUGGUGGUUAAUACCCAUCAGGAAAGACAUCACUCACAGAAGAAGCACCGGCUAACUCCGUGCCAGCAGCCGCGGUAAUACGGAGGGUGCGAGCGUUAAUCGGAAUUACUGGGCGUAAAGCGCGCGUAGGUGGCUUGAUAAGCCGGUUGUGAAAGCCCCGGGCUCAACCUGGGAACGGCAUCCGGAACUGUCAAGCUAGAGUGCAGGAGAGGAAGGUAGAAUUCCCGGUGUAGCGGUGAAAUGCGUAGAGAUCGGGAGGAAUACCAGUGGCGAAGGCGGCCUUCUGGACUGACACUGACACUGAGGUGCGAAAGCGUGGGUAGCAAACAGGAUUAGAUACCCGGGUAGUC
rnacentral:rRNA from 1 species